rnacentral:tRNA from 1 species
GCGGUCUUAGCUCAGUUGGUUAGAGCACUUCGUUGACAUCGAAGAGGUCAUAGGUUCGAAUCCCAUAGACCGCA